rnacentral:rRNA from 1 species
CCUACGGGAGGCAGCAGUGGGGAAUUUUGGACAAUGGGCGCAAGCCUGAUCCAGCAAUGCCGCGUGCAGGAUGAAGGCCUUCGGGUUGUAAACUGCUUUUGUACGGAACGAAACGGCGAGCUCUAAUAAAGUUCGCUAAUGACGGUACCGUAAGAAUAAGCACCGGCUAAUUACGUGCCAGCAGCCGCGGUAAUACGUAGGGUGCAAGCGUUAAUCGGAAUUACUGGGCGUAAAGCGUGCGCAGGCGGUGAUGUAAGACAGAUGUGAAAUCCCCGGGCUCAACCUGGGACCUGCAUUUGUGACUGCAUCGCUAGAGUACGGUAGAGGGGGAUGGAAUUCCGCGUGUAGCAGUGAAAUGCGUAGAUAUGCGGAGGAACACCGAUGGCGAAGGCAAUCCCCUGGACCUGUACUGACGCUCAUGCACGAAAGCGUGGGGAGCAAACAGGAUUAGAUACCCUGGUAGUCCACGCCCUAAACGAUGUCAACUGGUUGUUGGGUCUUCACUGACUCAGUAACGAAGCUAACGCGUGAAGUUGACCGCCUGGGGAGUACGGCCGCAAGGUUGAAACUUAAAGGAAUUGCGG